GAUGAACGCUGGCGGCGUGCCUAAUACAUGCAAGUCGAGCGAACAGACGAGGAGCUUGCUCCUCUGACGUUAGCGGCGGACGGGUGAGUAACACGUGGAUAACCUACCUAUAAGACUGGGAUAACUUCGGGAAACCGGAGCUAAUACCGGAUAACAUGUUGAACCGCAUGGUUCAACAGUGAAAGACGGUCUUGCUGUCACUAAUAGAUGGAUCCGCGCCGCUUUAGCUAGUUGGUAAGGUAACGGCUUACCAAGGCAACGAUGCGUAGCCGACCUGAGAGGGUGAUCGGCCACACUGGAACUGAGACACGGUCCAGACUCCUACGGGAGGCAGCAGUAGGGAAUCUUCCGCAAUGGGCGAAAGCCUGACCGAGCAACGCCGCGUGAGUGAAGAAGGUCUUCGGAUCGUAAAACUCUGUUAUUAGGGAAGAACAAAUGUGUAAGUAACUAUGCACGUCUUGACGGUACCUAAUCAAAAAGCCACGGCUAACUACGUG
rnacentral:rRNA from 1 species